ensembl:lncRNA
UUUUCUGGUUUAAGAUUCUUCCUUUGUAGAGUUUUCUCUGCGUGGUUCAAUCUUUAGAGCUAGGUAAAUAUUACAAAUUAGUCCACAACUGUGAAAGAAAGCUGAGUAGGAUAUUCUGCACAAGGUGGACUGACAAUAAGUACUGAACUAAGAAGACUUCAGGGGAGAGAAGAAAGACAAGAUGUAUACUCAACAGCUAACGGAAAAAUGACUUCUGAUGACUAUUGGCCAGGCUACUUGUUUCCUGAAUGCCUUCUGUGGAAAUCUCAGCUGUGCAGUAAAGGAACCUAUGGCACUCUGUGGGAUCCUGAGAGAGCAGCAUGUUAUCUUCUUGUACUGAAAGACCAUGCUGAACAUGCUUGGUAGUGAUUUUACCAAACUAAACUAUAUGAGACUAGCUUACAUCACAGGUGUUCUCUUCAGAUGGAGUAAUUUAUCUGUUACAUUACAUUUACAUUGUAAAUAUGUUGCAUUAAUGCUGAGAUCAUGAAGAUUUAGAGAAACUUGAUGUUUAGCCAUGUUUGCAGAGUACAGAAUCAGAGGUGAAUGUUAAUGGUAUGAUGGUAGAAGUUGAACCUUCCAAUCAAUAUGCUGUUGCAUAUUCUUACCAUGUGACAAAUGGCAGCAGGGGUGCAGUCUGUCCAAAGGGCACCUGACAUGGAAGUGCGAAUGAAGCAAAGGUGUGUCAUUGAAUUCCUCCAAAUGGAAAAAAUGACAUUAAAUGAAGCUUGCUGAAUGUUCAUGGACAUCAAACAGUGGAUGUGAGCACAGUGAGCUGGUGUGUGGUGUGUUUCAGCAAUGGUGACAGUGAUGUGAAAGACAAGCCAUGUUCCAGACAGCUAUGCACAGCUGUCACACCAUGAAAUGAAGAAAGUAUCAAUCACCUUAUCUGCGCAAACUGGCAGAUUGCCACCAGGGAACUGUGUACAGAGCUGAGUAUUUGCUUUGAUGCAUUGGAAAAGAUGGUGGUAAUGUUGGAAUAUCACAAAGUUUGUGCUAGGUGGGUCCCAAAAAUGCUCACACAAGAAGAGAAAAAACAUCUUUACGCAACUUUGUCAGGACCUAUUGAAUAUGAGAAAGAAAGGGACAGUUUCCUGGGUCACAUCGUUACUGGUGAUGUUGAUGGUGAUUACACCGCUACAAGCUGGAGUUAAAACAGUGGUGCAUUGAGUGACCACAUUUGAAUUCCUUGCUGAAGAAAAAGUUCAAGACACAAUCCUCAGUAAGGGUGAUCCUUCUGGAUUUCCUGGAACUCAGACAAACCAUUAAUUCUGACUGCCGACUAAGCUGAAGGCUCAAAAUUCCUGUCGUGCCAGUGAAUAAGACAACCUUUCUUUUUUAAUGUGAUAGAACCAGGCCCCAUAUUGGUUUGAAGAUCAUAGAGCACAUAGCCAGUGUUGGCUGGACUGUCCUACCACACCCACCCUAUGAUCUGGAUUUGGUGCCUUCUGUCUUCCAUUCAGGCCAAUGAAAGAUGGACUGUGUGGGCAACAUUUUUCUAGCAAUGACACCACCAUAGUGGUUGUGAAACAGUGGAUCACCUCUGCUGGUGCAGAUUUUUAUGAGCAAGGUGUGCAGGCUCUUGUUCAUCACUGGCAAAAAAUGCAUAGCUAACGGUAGUGACUAUGUUGAAAAAUAAUAUUUUGUGGCUGAGAAUUUGCUCUAUCAAACAGUGUUAUAGUGCUCCUUGUAUCUGUUCUGUGUUCCGUGGAAAUAAAUAGGAGGUAUUAUUUUUGGAGCAACCUAGAUAUAAUAUAAGUUGAUAUUUGCU